UGGACAAGGAGUGUGACCAUUGAAGCACAGC
rnacentral:piRNA from 2 species